AAUCAACGCUGGCGGCGUGCCUAACACAUGCAAGUCGAGCGCGAAAGCGGGGCAACUCGCAAGUAGAGCGGCGAACGGGUGAGUAACGCGUGGGUGAUCUACCUCCGAGUGGGAACAACAUCGGGAAACUGGUGCUAAUACCGCAUGACAUCCUCGGGUCAUACUGAGGAUCAAAGCCGGGGACCGCAAGGCCUGGCGCUUGGAGAGGAGCCCGCGUCCGAUAGCUAGUUUGGCGGGGUAACGGCCCACCAAGGCGACGAUCGGUAGCCGGCCUGAGAGGGCGGACGGCCACACUGGGACUGAGACACGG
rnacentral:rRNA from 1 species